rnacentral:rRNA from 1 species
CACGGGGGUUGCGAGCGUUGUUCGGAAUCAUUGGGCGUAAAGAGCGUGUAGGCGGCUGGAUAAGUCAGAUGUGAAAGCCCUGGGCUUAACCCAGGAAGUGCAUUUGAAACUGCCUCGCUAGAGUACGGGAGAGGAAAGUGGAAUUCCUGGUGUAGAGGUGAAAUUCGUAGAUAUCAGGAGGAACACCGGUGGCGAAGGCGACUUUCUGGCCCUAUACUGACGCUGAGACGCGAGAGCGUGGGUAGCAAACAGG